UUGGCCUGCGAGAAGUGCUU
rnacentral:miRNA from 1 species